rnacentral:rRNA from 1 species
GCAUUCACUUAGCGUGAAGUGAAGCACAUAAACCUGCUGAAUUUAAGCAUAUAAGUAAGUGGUGGAAAUUAAACCAAAUGGGAUUUCUUUAGUAAUUGCGAAUGAACAAGGAUAUGCUUAGCUUGACAAAUGGAGCUUUUGGCUUUGAGUUGUAUUGUGGAAAUGUACCACCAACAGAGGUGCAAGUGUCAGCCAUUUGAAAGAAAGCGUCAAUGAGGGUGAGAAUCCUGUUUGUCAUGUGCAGCCCUCUGUGCACGGUGUAUAUUUGCUGAGUCACACUCCUUGGCAUUGGAAUGCAAAGUGGGUGGUAAGUUUCAUACAAAGGUAAAUAUGCAAUUGAGACUGAUAGCACACAAGUACCAUGAGGGAAAUAUGAAAAGGACUUUGAAAAGAGAAUUAAAUGAGUUUGUAUUUGCUGAACACAAAGCAAACAGACUUGAUUUGCUUGGUGAGAUUGUAGUGCUUGCUUGACAAUAGGUUUUGGCUGUGGGUGAAAUGAUUCUUUCUUUGCAUGCCAGGUUCUAUGUGUACAUUUGAUUACCUUUGCACAUGAAUGGUAAUUUUCCUGCGGGGGGUGGAUUGCAUGUGCAUGUAAUGAUUUGUGUUUUGAUGAAUGUGUCUGGUGUAUCUGUUUCUGUUCCAUGUGUUUGAGGUUGCUUCCUUCCUUGGGCUUACAAGCCCUGACACACACAAUCUGGCAAAAUGCUUCUGCUUGACCCGUCUUGAAACACGGACCAAGGAGUCUAACAGAUGUGCAAGUUUGAGGGUGUUAUACCUUUGUGUGUAAUGGAAGUGUUGGCUGGGAUAUUUGCACCAGCAGCCGACUAAUUAGCAGAUAGAGGUUUGAGUUGGAGCAUAUCUAUUAGGACCCGAAAGAUGGUGAACUAUGCCUGAACAGAAUGAAUCAGAGGAAACUCUGAUGACGUA